GACACAUAGUCAUUGGUAGUGGAGGUGUGUUAGCUGACUGACCUCUGUGCCCAGACGGACAAAACCAAAAUACACACUGAACAACAAUAAGCACCAUCUGCAUAAAAUAUCAGAGAAAGAAAUCUUAAAUCAGCCCCAAAUCCAGGUUCUCAUUCCCACUUUUGUGUCAAUGAAGAGAACAGAAAUGAGAAAAACGGAUAUCCCACCUCCCCACAAAUAUAGACUGAGGGAAUACCCAUCAUCAAAGCCACAACUGCUCCAUUCAAGCAUGAAAAUCCUGAACUUGA